UGCUAUACAUGCAAGUCGAACGCACUCUCGUUAGAUUGAAGAAGCUUGCUUCUGAUUGAUAACAUUUGAGUGAGUGGCGGACGGGUGAGUAACACGUGGGUAACCUGCCCUAAAGUGGGGGAUAACAUUUGGAAACAGAUGCUAAUACCGCAUAAAACCUAGCACCGCAUGGUGCAAGGUUGAAAGAUGGUUUCGGCUAUCACUUUAGGAUGGACCCGCGGUGCAUUAGUUAGUUGGUGAGGUAAAGGCUCACCAAGACCGUGAUGCAUAGCCGACCUGAGAGGGUAAUCGGCCACACUGGGACUGAGACACGGCCCAGACUCCUACGGGAGGCAGCAGUAGGGAAUCUUCCACAAUGGACGAAAGUCUGAUGGAGCAACGCCGCGUGAGUGAAGAAGGUUUUCGGAUCGUAAAACUCUGUUGUUGGAGAAGAACGUAUUUGAUAGUAACUGAUCAGGUAGUGACGGUAUCCAACCAGAAAGCCACGGCUAACUACGUGCCAGCAGCCGCGGUAAUACGUAGGUGGCAAGCGUUGUCCGGAUUUAUUGGGCGUAAAGCGAGCGCAGGCGGUUUCUUAAGUCUGAUGUGAAAGCCUUCGGCUCAACCGAAGAAGUGCAUCGGAAACUGGGAAACUUGAGUGCAGAAGAGGACAGUGGAACUCCAUGUGUAGCGGUGAAAUGCGUAGAUAUAUGGAAGAACACCAGUGGCGAAGGCGGCUGUCUGGUCUGUAACUGACGCUGAGGCUCGAAAGCAUGGGUAGCAAACAGGAUUAGAUACCCUGGUAGUCCAUGCCGUAAACGAUGAGUGCUAGGUGUUGGAGGGUUUCCGCCCUUCAGUGCCGCAGCUAACGCAUUAAGCACUCCGCCUGGGGAGUACGACCGCAAGGUUGAAACUCAAAGGAAUUGACGGGGGCCCGCACAAGCGGUGGAGCAUGUGGUUUAAUUCGAAGCAACGCGAAGAACC
rnacentral:rRNA from 2 species